UUCAGGGACUGUGACUUUACCUUGUUGAAGCCACUUCGGCAGCUUUUUACCACUAUGGAAAACAACUUGUGUCACGACAUGGCCAAGCCUGGGAUUCUCCUUCCUCUUCAUCGUGCACUUGCAGAACUCUUCUUUGUUACAGAAAACAGGGUUAGCGAGCUUGGAUCUCUACAAGAGUAUUUGCUUGCCUUAAAUACUGAAGAUCAACUUCAUCACUGCACAGCACAGGCCCUGAAAAACAUUGCUGCUAUCAGCCUUGCCAUUAGCUAUCCAGACAAAUCACCAAGUUUCUGGAAUGUUUAAUACUGGCUCAGGCCAGAGUGCAUGGCAUAGAGUAGUUUGUCC